rnacentral:rRNA from 1 species
GACGAACGCUGGCGGCGUGCUUAACACAUGCAAGUCGAACGAAGUGGCGAACGGGUGAGUAACGCGUAAUCAACCUGCCCUUCAGAGGGGGACAACAGUUGGAAACGACUGCUAAUACCGCAUACUGAAGGAGGGGAUUGCGUCUGAUUAGCUAGUUGGAGGGGUAACGGCCCACGAAGGCGAUGAUCAGUAGGCGGGCUGGGGGGGUGAACGGCCACAAUGGGACUUGGAAAAGGCCCCGACUCCUUCGGGAGGGAGCAGUGGGGAAACUUCCGCAAAUGGCGGAAAUCUGACGGAGCAACGCCGGGGGAGGUGUGACGGCCUUCGGGUUGUAAAGCUCUGUUAAUCGGGGCGCGGUACCGGAAUAGAAAGCCACGGCUAACUACGUGCCAGCAGCCGCGGUAAUUC